rnacentral:rRNA from 1 species
UACGUAGGCAGCAAGCGUUGUUCGGAAUUACUGGGCGUAAAGAGUGUGUAGGCGGUGUUCUAAGUCUGGUGUGAAAUCUCCCGGCUCAACUGGGAGGGUGCGCCGGAAACUGGAAUGCUCGAGUAUGGGAGAGGUAAGCGGAAUUCCUGGUGCAGCGGUGAAAUGCGUAGAUAUCAGGAGGAACACCUGUGGUGUAGACAGCUUACUGGACCAUCACUGACGCUGAGACACGAAAGCGUGGGUAGCAAACAGG